ACCCUAUUUCAAUCUAUGGAGGUAACUAAAUUGGUAACUUACAUGGUACAAAUCAUCGUUAAGCGACGCAGGUGUUCCCCGAAACCAUAGUUCCGAUGAACGUUCGCACUAACUGUCGUUAAGAUUCCACAAUGAAAGAACAUGAGGACAGGAGAUGGAUGAGGAUAAAUCAGACAGCAACUCGGCUGAUGAGAACAAAUGAGGAGCCUGGUGAUUCAUUGUGUGAAUGACAAACACUGCAACAGUCUAUAAUACAGAGCAGCUUCAAACAGAUGGGAGGAAGAACAUCUGUGUGUUUUAAUUGGUCACACAUGCGAUAUCAAGCACACAGCCCAUCUAAAACUGUCUGUAAACACUGCUGCUGUUGUGUGCGUAACCGCAGCCAGUUUUGAGAGAAGGGAAAUCGUCCUUGGAGCAGUUCAUCAGGAGAGAGAAAGAGCGAGGAUGCCUCCACCUCCUGUUGUUUGUCCGGGAUGCCAAGCUCACGCACAGCAUGCCAGGCCCCAUGCGGGCGCUCAGGCCGGCCGGAAAAGACAGAGCUCUUGGAAGACUCGGGUCUGGUCAGAGCCAACACGAUGCUCAUGCCAGGCAGAGCAACUGUGGCCAGCGUCUGCUAGUGCAUCUCUCCCCUUUACCCGUCGACACACUGCAGACCUCAGGGGAAAGGAUGCAACCAUCAGGGGACCAGUAGUCCAUCCGGGCCGGGCUGGAGGACAGACCCCAUGUGGCAGAGAGUGGGAGCAAUUGUCCAGGUGAGUGGAGGUGUGAAAGAAGGCAGGAUUUGAACAUCUCUUCAUUGUAUCUGGCUGACAUCGCUCCGCACAUUCGAUUGUGGCCAUAUGGAACACGUGCAACCAGUUUUGCCUUCAG